rnacentral:rRNA from 1 species
UACAGGGGGGGCAAGCGUUGUUCGGAAUCAUUGGGCGUAAAGCGCACGUAGGCGGCCUGAUAAGUCGGGUGUGAAAGCCCUGGGCUCAACCCAGGAAGUGCACUCGAAACUGUCAGGCUUGAAUAUGGAAGAGGGUCGCGGAAUUCCCGGUGUAGAGGUGAAAUUCGUAGAUAUCGGGAGGAACACCAGUGGCGAAGGCGGCGACCUGGGCCAAUAUUGACGCUGAGGUGCGAAAGCGUGGGGAGCAAACAGG